AUGUCUUGCUGUGGUGGAAACUGUGGUUGCGGAAGUAGCUGCAAGUGCGGCUCUGGCUGCGGCGGGUGCAAGAUGUAUGCUGAUUUGAGCUACACAGAAUCAACAACUUCUGAGACACUUAUCAUGGGAGUUGGAUCUGAGAAGGCUCAAUAUGAGAGUGCUGAGAUGGGAGCUGAGAAUGAUGGGUGCAAAUGUGGAGCAAACUGCACCUGCAACCCAUGUACCUGCAAAUGA